AUACGUAGGGGGCGAGCGUUGUCCGGAAUGAUUGGGCGUAAAGGGCGCGUAGGCGGCCCGGUAAGUCUGGAGUGAAAGUCCUGCUUUUAAGGUGGGAAUUGCUUUGGAUACUGUCGGGGUUGAGUGCAGGAGAGGGAAGUGGAAUUCCCAGUGGAGCGGUGAAAUGCGUAGAGAUUGGGAGGAACACCAGUGGCGAAGGCGACUUACUGGACUGUAACUGACGCUGAGGCGCGAAAGUGUGGGGAGCAAACAGGAUUAGAUACCCUGGUAGUCCACACUGUAAACGAUGAAUGCUAGGUGUAGGGGGUAUCGACCCCUUCUGUGCCGCAGUUAACACAAUAAGCAUUCCGCCUGGGGAGUACGGCCGCAAGGUUGAAACUCAAAGGAAUCGACGGGG
rnacentral:rRNA from 1 species